CCUCCAUAUGAUCACUUUGAGAUCCGUACAGACGGAUGAAUAUUCAGAUGAUUUUUAUGUUGCUUUGAGAUUCUUUAAGAUUUAUGUAGAUAGAUGAAUAUUUGAAUUACUUUAAUAUCUAUAUAGAUGGAUGAAUAAUCAAAUGAUACAUUGAUCGUCUUGAGAUCUAUCCAGAUGAAUGAAUAUUGGAUUAUCCAUCACAUGAAUCUCAAAGUGCUCC
rnacentral:lncRNA from 1 species